CUAAUGGUUGGGUGCGUCUUAUAGAGCGAAAAAUACGGUAUGUGCCCAAGGAGGAGAACUGGCCCAAAGCAUUGGGAAGUAACAGCUGAGAAGACUGCCUGGGGCAUUUUUGUCGUGCGUGAUGCUCAAAGUUCCUUACCAGCGCUGUCUUUAGCAUCUGCGCCGCCGGGGUGCAAAGCUCCGCCCAGCGCCCCCAGAUUUAGUUUAGCCCCCAAAUUAACUUUUAUUAUGCUUAGGUCAGACACCACACACACGCCUUAUCUUUUGUUUACGAAAGAAGGGAGGAAAAAGAAACAGACUUCCUUAUUUGCACAUUUAUUUACAAUACACUUAUACUUAAGUAUACAACACCACCACACUUAAACUUAAAAGUAUUGUUUAGGCACCUACUUAGUAGAAACAUUGGUUGUGUCAAAGGAGCUGCUGACCCUGCUGCCGCAUAGCAGCUCAAUACAGUACGUAACAUAAUAUUUUGAUGUAAGAGUUAAUUUCGCAUGUACAGCGCUGUUGUGAAUGACAAGAGCCGCUGCUGGUGCGGCGCAUCUUUGGUAAAUGAGAGCACAAAGUUAAAAGUCCUUUAGUGAAACAGUAAGUAUACAUUUCGGUAAUACCUAGGUAUAUAUGUAUUUUGUUUUUCUAGCUUGAUCAAAAUUAUUAUUAUUUCAUAACAGGUAGAUAGUUAAGAGCUUAGGCGGCUUCAGUGGUGGGCACCUGGUGCCCCCCAGAAUUUGGCAGCCAGGUGCCCCACACCCCUUGCCCUCAUGGGUAAAGACGGCCCUGUUCCUUACAGCCUGGAAAGUGACGAGUCUGGAUGUAUAAUGUAGUAUAGGAUCUGAAAUAAUUCUUAACCCCCCUUUAUCAAAAGAUUCCAGGGCGGUGUCUGAAAGCGUGAUUUAAGAUUGUUUCACACAACAUAUCAAGGCUAUUGAGAAGCAACCAAUAAGCAAAACAAACAAAACCCCGUAUUUACUCCAAUCUAAUGCUCACCUUUUUUUGCCAACUUAUGUUGCAAAAAUUAAGGUGUGCAUUAGAUUCAAUGGCACAUUUACAUCCACCAGAAAAUACUUUUUGGGUUUCAAGGUUCUGAAAAACGAGAUGCGCAUUAGAUUUGAUGGUGCAUUAGGCUCAAGUAAUUAUGGUAAAUAACUCCCACCAAAAGCUAGAAACGAAAUAAAACAAUUCCAAAAGUUAUCUAGGAUCUAAAAUGCUCCUGUUCGUCCGCCUUGUGAGUAUCUCAGUUCAUAGGCUGGGGCAAAUGCUUUCCUAAUGACUGGAUUGUAUAUUUUGAUGGCACCAGCUUGAGCCUUUUAUUGGCUUGGCAAAACAUAGGCUUGCAGUUUCACACUGGGCAUUUUUGUGUUCGUAAUACAAUGGCUGCAUUCACACACAAUUCUAAGCUAUAGUUUGUUUUCAACAUGGCUUGUUCUGGGCACCCUGAGUCAUUAUGAAUAUCACAUAACAUCCUAUUUCUCUAAACCUUGGUUUAUUUGUUGCUGCCUUGGCCUCAUGACUUUGUGGCUUGAUCAGUGCCUGGAAUGGAAUGGUGGAACAAACCGUGGUUAAGCGAGGCUAUUGAGUUCAAAUGUAAUACCAAACCAAAGGUGAAACAAGCCACGGUUUGUGAGCCAACAACAAAUUAUGGCUUUACAUCAUGGCUUUGUGCUGGAAAACAAACCAUAGUUUUACUAAACAAACCAUGGUUUACCUUUAUGUGUGACCGGGCGAAUAGCUCCAUAGAACAAUAGGAUAGCAGAAUAACAUUUGGAACACAUCUUCAUGACACCAUUCUGUACCGCAGGUUAGAACCCCAACUUAAACCCUGCACUCAUUUUCAAGCCAUCAGCAACGCAGGAGACAAUACAGGGCACAGAGGGGGAGGUUGCCAGGCUGACAACGGGCAAUGAUGUAAGCGGAAGUUGCACUUCAGCGAUGGCAGCAGCGAGGGGAGCAUCCCGUUGCCUAUCCAUGGCUGCUGCUGCCAGCCUCCUCCCUUGGGCAGCUCAUAGUGGCUGCCGGAGAGCAGGCGAGGAAGAAGAGAGGCCAUGGCGCCAGGGCCCAGCCCUGCAUGAUGCGCUGGCUCCGAGGAGCAGGCACGGACAGGGCCAUCCUGGGUGGAAAUAAAGGGGAGCAGAGCAGAGCACAAGGAGUCUUGAUUUUUUAAAAAGCGCUUUGUGCAUCCACAUCUAAUCUUGUCCUCUUCUAAAAAAAAAAAUUCCAUUUUUUGCAUUACUUUUUGUAAAUCUUACCAAAAAAUAAAAUAAAAUCGGGAUUAAUUAAGGGGUUUUCUCAGGACGCUGGAGGGUGUGUGUGCUGUGUCCUAUUUGUGUACGUGGCGGUGGCAUUUGCCCUUCUUCUGAUAGGAAAUGCUUGCGGGGGGAGCACCAGGGAAGAGAUGGCAUACAAACCAAAUCAAUAAGGAUAAGUAUAGGUGUUAAAAGAGCCCCCAACUCUCCACCCCCCCUCGCUUGUCUCAUGGGCCCAAAGAGAGCGCCCCAAUGCCCCUUCCAUCGCUUCCCCCUUUGCAAAGGGACAACCUGUUCCCCUUACUCCCACCCGCCUGAACCUACUGCAGCAAUUCAGACUGUAAAUAUUAGGAGUAGGACGUCCUUAGUGCAAGUGGAAACAACUCUGAGC